UCACACUCUGGGGACUGCUGUGGGGUGGGGGGAGGGGGAGGGAUAGCAUUGGGAGAUAUAACUAAUGCUAGAUGACGAGUUAGUGGGUGCAGCGCACCAGCGUGGCACAUGUAUACAUAUGUAACUAACCUGCACAUUGUGCACAUGCACCCUAAAACUUAAAGUAUAAUAAUAAUAAAUUAAAAAAAAAGGCACCAAUCCCACCCAUGAAGGUGGAGCCCUCGUGGUCUAAUUACGUCUUAAAGUUUCCAUAUCUUAAUGCUGUUAUAAUGGCAAUUAAAUUUCAACAUGAGUUUUGAAGGGGACAAAUGAUCUAACCCUGGCAAAUACCAUAUUUAUAUCAGAUAUUAUGCUGAAUACUUUCACACUGAUCUUCUAUAAUCUUCAGCCAACUUUUUGCUUAUUGGUCAGAUAAGAAAACUCAUUGAUGUUUAAUUAUUUGAGAUAAUAUAGUCAAAAUUGGUGUGAGAACCUGUAUUGGUUUGAGACUUUAGUUCCCCAUAGUGUACUCACUAUGAUAGUCAUGUGAUUAGCUCAAACAAAAUGCAACUGUUAGUAUUAAUGACAAAAAUGGCUGAAAUGUCACAUUCCCUCAAUCAUGUUUCAUGUCAGCCCUUAUCUUUUGACUGUAGACACAAUUAUGUGUCGAUAGCAUAUUUAGAGUGUUAUAUUAAAAUUUUAUCUGUGCUUGAGUAAAGUUCAAAAUAUUGUAAGAUAGUAUAGCUUAUUAUUGGGAGAAAAAUACAAAGAUAUAAGUGAGUAGUUAAUGUUUUUAUUACUAGUAAAAUAAUUUUAGAGAUCUUUUGAAAACUAAAGCCAGGAUAGAUUUUAUUAUACUAUACUUAUUAUUUUUCAUAAGAGAAACAUAAUUUUUAUAUUAAGGAUAAUUGUUUAUAUAUUUUU
rnacentral:lncRNA from 1 species